UACGUAGGGUGCAAGCGUUGUCCGGAAUUAUUGGGCGUAAAGAGCUCGUAGGCGGUCUGUCGCGUCGGCUGUGAAAACCCGGAGCUCAACUCCGGGCCUGCAGUCGAUACGGGCAGGCUUGAGUUCGGUAGGGGAGACUGGAAUUCCUGGUGUAGCGGUGAAAUGCGCAGAUAUCAGGAGGAACACCGGUGGCGAAGGCGGGGUCUCUGGGCCGAUACUGACGCUGAGGAGCGAAAAGCGUGGGGAGCGAACAGG
rnacentral:rRNA from 1 species